CCUACGGGUGGCUGCAGUAAGGAAUAUUGGUCAAUGGACGAAAGUCUGAACCAGCCAUCCCGCGUGCAGGAUGAAAGCCCUAUGGGUUGUAAACUGCUUUUAGCAGAGAAGAAAAGCUUUCAUUAAUGAGAGUCUGACGGUAUCUGCAGAAUAAGCACCGGCUAACUCCGUGCCAGCAGCCGCGGUAAUACGGAGGGUGCGAGCGUUAUCCGGGUUUACGGGGUCGUAAGGGUGCGAUUACGGAGUGUGUGAAAUCUUGUCGCUGAACGAGAAAAUUGCCAAUGAUACUGGUACUCUUGAAUUGGGUUGAGGUUAGCGGAAUGUGACAUGUAGCGGUGAAAUGCAUAGAUAUGUCAUGGAACACCAAUUGCGAAGGCAGCUAACUGGGCCUUGAUUGACGCUGAGGCACGAAAGCGUGGGUAGCGAACAGGAUUAGAUACCCCAGUAGUC
rnacentral:rRNA from 1 species